rnacentral:tRNA from 1 species
GCCGGAGUGGUGGAAUUGGUAGACGCCAGGGACUUAAAAUCCCUUGCACUUUUUGUGCGUGCCGGUUCAAGUCCGGCCUCCGGCA